GCGGCAGGCUUAACACAUGCAAGUCGAACGCUGUAGCAAUACAGAGUGGCAGACGGGUGAGUAACGCGUGGGAACGUGCCUUUCGGUUCGGAAUAACUCAGGGAAACUUGAGCUAAUACCGGAUACGCCCUUCGGGGGAAAGAUUUAUUGCCGAAAGAUCGGCCCGCGUCCGAUUAGCUAGUUGGUGAGGUAACGGCCCACCAAGGCGACGAUCGGUAGCUGGUCUGAGAGGAUGAUCAGCCACACUGGGACUGAGACACGGCCCAGACCCCUACGGGAGGCAGCAGUGGGGAAUAUUGGACAAUGGGCGCAAGCCUGAUCCAGCCAUGCCGCGUGAGUGAUGAAGGCCCUAGGGUUGUAAAGCUCUUUCGCCAGGGACGAUAAUGACGGUACCUGGAUAAGAAGCCCCGGCUAACUUCGUGCCA
rnacentral:rRNA from 1 species